rnacentral:snRNA from 1 species
AUACCUUUCUUGGCCUUUUGGCUAAGAUCAAGUCUAGUAUCUUUCUCGGUUUUCACGAGUCGCCCAUGCGUUGCACUACUGCACGGGCCUGACCCAUCCCAC